UCAGCUGAUGGCCUAGUUGGCUAAAGCGUCAUGCUGAUAACACCAAGGUUGCAGGUUUGAUCCCUGUAUGGGACAGCUGCA